rnacentral:rRNA from 1 species
UACCAGCACCCCGAGUGGUCGGGACGAUUAUUGGGCCUAAAGCAUCCGUAGCCGGUCCUGCAAGUCUUCCGUUAAAUCCAGCUGCUCAACAGAUGGGCUGCGGGGAUACUACAGGGCUAGGAGGCGGGAGAGGCAAGCGGUACUUUAUGGGUAGGGGUAAAAUCCGUUGAUCCAUAGAAGACCACCAGUGGCGAAGGCGGCUUGCCAGAACGCGCUCGACGGUGAGGAUGAAGCUGGGGAGCAAACCGG